rnacentral:rRNA from 1 species
CUGCGGAGGAUCAUUACCGAGUGAGGGCCCUCUGGGUCCAACCUCCCACCCGUGUUUAUCGUACCUUGUUGCUUCGGCGGGCCCGCCUCACGGCCGCCGGGGGGCUUCUGCCCUCUGGCCCGCGCCCGCCGAAGACACCAUUGAACGCUGUCUGAAGAUUGCAGUCUGAGCAAUUAGCUAAAUAAGUUAAAACUUUCAACAACGGAUCUCUUGGUUCCGGCAUCGAUGAAGAACGCAGCGAAAUGCGAUACGUAAUGUGAAUUGCAGAAUUCAGUGAAUCAUCGAGUCUUUGAACGCACAUUGCGCCCCCUGGUAUUCCGGGGGGCAUGCCUGUCCGAGCGUCAUUGCUGCCCUCAAGCACGGCUUGUGUGUUGGGCCCCCGUCCUCCUCCCGGGGGACGGGCCCGAAAGGCAGCGGCGGCACCGCGUCCGGUCCUCGAGCGUAUGGGGCUUCGUCACCCGCUCUUGUAGGCCCGGCCGGCGCUUGCCGACACAUCAAUCUUUUUUCCAGGUUGACCUCGGAUCAGGUAGGGAUACCCGCUGAACUUAAGCAUA